rnacentral:rRNA from 1 species
GUUAUAUGGUCAAGUGAAGAAGCGCAUACGGUGGAUGCCUUGGCAGUCAGAGGCGAUGAAAGACGUGGUAGCCUGCGAAAAGCUUCGGGAGUCGGCAAACAGACUUUGAUCCGGAGAUGUCUGAAUGGGGGAACCCAGCCAUCACAAGAUGGUUAUCUUGUACUGAAUACAUAGGUGCAAGAGGCGAACCAGGGGAACUGAAACAUCUAAGUACCCUGAGGAAAAGAAAUCAACCGAGAUUCCCUUAGUAGUGGCGAGCGAACGGGGACUAGCCCUUAAGUGGCUUUGAGAUUAGCGGAACGCUCUGGAAAGUGCGGCCAUAGUGGGUGAUAGCCCUGUACGCGAAAAUCUCUUGGUCAUGAAAUCGAGUAGGACGGAGCACGAGAAACUUUGUCUGAAUAUGGGGGGACCAUCCUCCAAGGCUAAAUACUACUGACUGACCGAUAGUGAACUAGUACCGUGAGGGAAAGGCGAAAAGAACCCCGGAGAGGGGAGUGAAAUAGAUCCUGAAACCGUAUGCGUACAAGCAGUGGGAGCAGACUUUGUUCUGUGACUGCGUACCUUUUGUAUAAUGGGUCAGCGACUUAUUUUCAGUGGCGAGCUUAACCGAAUAGGGAGGCGUAGCGAAAGCGAGUCUUAAUAGGGCGUCUAGUCGCUGGGAAUAGACCCGAAACCGGGCGAUCUAUCCAUGGGCAGGUUGAAGGUUAGGUAACACUGACUGGAGGACCGAACCGACUACCGUUGAAAAGUUAGCGGAUGACCUGUGGAUCGGAGUGAAAGGCUAAUCAAGCUCGGAGAUAGCUGGUUCUCCUCGAAAGCUAUUUAGGUAGCGCCUCAUGUAUCACUGUAGGGGUAGAGCACUGUUUCGGCUAGGGGUCAUCCCGACUUACCAAACCGAUGCAAACUCCGAAUACCUACAAGUGCCGAGCAUGGGAGACACACGGCGGGUGCUAACGUCCGUCGUGAAAAGGGAAACAACCCAGACCGUCAGCUAAGGUCCCAAAGUUAUGGUUAAGUGGGAAACGAUGUGGGAAGGCUUAGACAGCUAGGAGGUUGGCUUAGAAGCAGCCACCCUUUAAAGAAAGCGUAAUAGCUCACUAGUCGAGUCGGCCUGCGCGGAAGAUGUAACGGGGCUCAAACCAUACACCGAAGCUACGGGUAUCACGUAAGUGAUGCGGUAGAGGAGCGUUCUGUAAGCCUGUGAAGGUGAGUUGAGAAGCUUGCUGGAGGUAUCAGAAGUGCGAAUGCUGACAUGAGUAACGACAAUGGGUGUGAAAAACACCCACGCCGAAAGACCAAGGUUUCCUGCGCAACGUUAAUCGACGCAGGGUUAGUCGGUCCCUAAGGCGAGGCUGAAAAGCGUAGUCGAUGGAAAACAGGUUAAUAUUCCUGUACUUCUGGUUAUUGCGAUGGAGGGACGGAGAAGGCUAGGCCAGCUUGGCGUUGGUUGUCCAAGUUUAAGGUGGUAGGCUGAGAUCUUAGGUAAAUCCGGGAUCUUAAGGCCGAGAGCUGAUGACGAGUGUUCUUUUAGAACACGAAGUGGUUGAUGCCAUGCUUCCAAGAAAAGCUUCUAAGCUUCAGAUAACCAGGAACCGUACCCCAAACCGACACAGGUGGUUGGGUAGAGAAUACCAAGGCGCUUGAGAGAACUCGGGUGAAGGAACUAGGCAAAAUGGCACCGUAACUUCGGGAGAAGGUGCGCCGGUGAGGGUGAAGGACUUGCUCCGUAAGCUCAUGCCGGUCGAAGAUACCAGGCCGCUGCGACUGUUUAUUAAAAACACAGCACUCUGCAAACACGAAAGUGGACGUAUAGGGUGUGACGCCUGCCCGGUGCCGGAAGGUUAAUUGAUGGGGUUAGCUAACGCGAAGCUCUUGAUCGAAGCCCCGGUAAACGGCGGCCGUAACUAUAACGGUCCUAAGGUAGCGAAAUUCCUUGUCGGGUAAGUUCCGACCUGCACGAAUGGCGUAACGAUGGCGGCGCUGUCUCCACCCGAGACUCAGUGAAAUUGAAAUCGCUGUGAAGAUGCAGUGUAUCCGCGGCUAGACGGAAAGACCCCGUGAACCUUUACUAUAGCUUUGCACUGGACUUUGAAUUUGCUUGUGUAGGAUAGGUGGGAGGCUUUGAAGCGUGGACGCCAGUUCGCGUGGAGCCAUCCUUGAAAUACCACCCUGGCAACUUUGAGGUUCUAACUCAGGUCCGUUAUCCGGAUCGAGGACAGUGUAUGGUGGGUAGUUUGACUGGGGCGGUCUCCUCCUAAAGAGUAACGGAGGAGUACGAAGGUGCGCUCAGACCGGUCGGAAAUCGGUCGUAGAGUAUAAAGGCAAAAGCGCGCUUGACUGCGAGACAGACACGUCGAGCAGGUACGAAAGUAGGUCUUAGUGAUCCGGUGGUUCUGUAUGGAAGGGCCAUCGCUCAACGGAUAAAAGGUACUCCGGGAUAACAGGCUGAUACCGCCCAAGAGUUCAUAUCGACGGCGGUGUUUGGCACCUCGAUGUCGGCUCAUCACAUCCUGGGGCUGAAGCCGGUCCCAAGGGUAUGGCUGUUCGCCAUUUAAAGUGGUACGCGAGCUGGGUUUAGAACGUCGUGAGACAGUUCGGUCCCUAUCUGCCGUGGACGUUUGAGAUUUGAGAGGGCUGCUCCUAGUACGAGAGGACCGGAGUGGACGAACCUCUGGUGUUCCGGUUGUCACGCCAGUGGCAUUGCCGGGUAGCUAUGUUCGGAAAAGAUAACCGCUGAAAGCAUCUAAGCGGGAAACUUGCCUCAAGAUGAGAUCUCACUGGAACCUUGAGUUCCCUGAAGGGCCGUCGAAGACUACGACGUUGAUAGGUUGGGUGUGUAAGCGCUGUGAGGCGUUGAGCUAACCAAUACUAAUUGCCCGUGAGGCUUGACCAUAUAACACCCAAGCAAUU